AAGGAGUCUAACAUGCUUGCGAGUGUUUGGGUGUCAAACCCAUACGCGUAAUGAAAGUGAAUGCAGGUGGGAUCCUUUACCGGAGCACCAUCGACCGAACCGGAUGUUUACUGAAGGUUUUGAGUAAGAGCACGUAUGUUGGGACCCGAAAGAUGGUGAACUAUGCCUGAAUAGGGUGAAGCCAGAGGAAACUCUGGUGGAGGCUCGUAGCGGUUCUGACGUGCAAAUCGAUCGUCAAAUUUGGGUAUAGGGGCGAAAGACUAAUCGAACCAUCUAGUAGCUGGUUCCUGC
rnacentral:misc_RNA from 1 species